rnacentral:rRNA from 1 species
AUGGGUAUUCUGCAUGGCUUUGGGGAUGCAGCUGGUCUCAAGAUUAACCUCGCUAAAUCAUCUGUGACGCACAUCCGCUAUGAGGACAUCAAUAUGGCCGAGGUUUUGCAGAGCUUUGGGGGACAAAUGAAGUCCUUCCCGAUAACAUACCUGGGGCUACCGAUUAUACCGGCAAGGCUCAGGCUUGUGCACCUUCAAUUCGUCCUUGAUCGCAUCUGAGCUCGGCUGGUGGGGUGGAAGACGAAGCUGCUAACCAUUGCCGGACGUCGAGUGCUAGUCCGAGCGGUCCUCACCUCGCGGCCGACCUUCACCCUCACCGCGCUGCGGGUGCCGAAGAAGCUUCUAAAAGAGAUUGACAAAUCCAGAGGAAAGUUCCUUUGGGCGCACAAUGAGAUGAUCACAGGGGCAAAUGCAAAGUUAAUUGGGCAAAGGUGUGUACCCCGAUCGAGCAUGGCGGUCUUGGCAUCCUCGACCUGCAGAAGUAUGGCCGAGCGCUACGGCUUCGGUGGCUCUGGUACACAUGGAAAAACCCUGAUCGAGCCUGGCUGGGCAUGGACUUACCCAGUGAUGUCACGGACAGGGCCAUGUUCACAGCUGCAACUUCUAUCUCAUUAG